AGCAAACGCCCCCAGCUCUUGCAGGGAAAUGUAGACCAGCCUAGGGCCCGGAUGCCCAGCCGGCCUUCCCUGGGAAGGGGUCGAGCCAAAGGGGCUGGCGGAGCGGGGCUGUUUCCAUGGACACAGUGGAAUCGCCAGCUUUUGCUGUGCCCUUGGUCUGGGAAAGGAAUAAACGUGGCCAUGGACAAGAGGAGAAAACACGGAGACUGCACUGCAGGGGUUUCAUCCUGAUCUGGGCUCCUCCAAUGUGGAAAACGCACUUCAAAAGCACCCCCAUCACACGGCGCCAAAAUUCCCACCCACCCGACUGCCCAAGACAGACGUCUCCGGGAAAUUUCCAGCCUUGGCACGUUGGUCGAAAGGAAAUUUAUUUAUUUCAGUGGCGGUCAAAUAAACACCGGGCCGCUGAGACUUGGGGAGCGUUUGUCGUGGCGCUGCCUUGGUUAGAUAAGGAACCCUUUGAUGAAGUGAAGCGACUUUGUGUGCCUAAUCUGAGCCUAGCAGCCCCGCACAGCGAUUGUAAAAUGUGGCGCUGUCUGCAGGGAGCAGCAAUUACAUAGGAGGAUUAAAAGGUCCUAAACCUCACCUAUAUUUCACUUUUGUAAACGAGUGAGGAACAAAGAAUUCUCGGCUUGCCAAGAGGAAAGAAUAAUUGACACAAUUCACAGACAGUGGAUUAUUAUAAUGUAAAUAAACGAAUGGGAGAGGGCAAAACUAAUUUAGACCUUAAACUUUUUCAUCUGGCGUUGAACAAGAAGGAUAAACACAUCUUUGUAAAGGCAUGCCAUGAAACUGAAACCCCAAUUUUCACUUUAUUACAUGCGUUGCCCUCUUUGAACUAAGUUGCUGCAGUUGGCGGGAGAAGAGCAGGCCAAGCUAACGUUGGGCUAGAUUAGAAGAAACACUCUUUUAAACCAGAACGAGUUGGCUUUGUCGGAGGUUGGGGUUUCUAUGGGUGGUUGAAUGCAGAAGAUCCAGAUGGAACCUUUGCCCAACAUGUCUGACUGUUGAGAUUUGAAAACUAAAUGUAGGUAGGUAUUUUUUUUCGUUGUUUUGCUGUGUUUACAUUUUUUUUUUUACUGGAAUCGAGUAUCAAGAUGCUGUUUUGCUCUUGCCAUGACUGGAAAUAAGAAAUACAGUUGUGGAAGCCUUAUUGACA